rnacentral:misc_RNA from 1 species
GUUUGAACCCAAUCCCAGUGCGUCAUUCUGCGCAGCUAUUUCAUUGUAAACGGACAAUCUUUUCUCCUCCAGUUUUUGAGCAUUUUCUGUCACCCUGAUUGUAUUUCCUGUUGAAUGUUUCUGCCCAUCAGAUAUGGGUCUCGCAGGCUGACUAGUGACAUCCCUUGAAACCUUGCUAGCCUCUGGAGAAGCAGUCAUCACUGACUCAGAUGACUUCUUAUCUGACGCAGCUGCAGCUUCUUUUGCUGCUUUUCUCUCAGCUUCCAGCGCAGCAGCUUUU